GAAAUGCGAUAAGUAGUGUGAAUUGCAGAAUUCAGUGAAUCAUCGAAUCUUUGAACGCACAUUGCGCCCUUUGGUAUUCCUUAGGGCAUGCCUGUUCGAGCGUCAUUUCAACCCUCAAGCCCCCGGGUUUGGUGUUGGGGAUCGGGCUGCGGUUCUACCGCGUCCCGGCCCCGAAAUCUAGUGGCGGUCUCGCUGCAGCCUCCAUUGCGUAGUAGCUAACACCUCGCAACUGGAACGCGGCGCGGCCAAGCCGUUAAACCCCCAACUUCUGAAUGUUGACCUCGGAUCAGGUAGGAAUACCCGCUGAACUUAAGC
rnacentral:misc_RNA from 1 species